AAACAAACAGAAAAAGAAAACAAAGAGUCAGAGAAAGAUAUAUAUGU
rnacentral:guide_RNA from 1 species